UCAGGUGGUUAUUGCGGCAGGGUUCCACCUCUUCCCAUUCCGAACAGAGAAGUUAAGCCUGCUUGCGCCGAUGGUACUGCAAUGCAAUGCGGGAGAGUAGGUAGCCGCCUCCU
rnacentral:rRNA from 1 species